UCUGCCGGUGUGGGGCUGCACACGCAGCCGGGGAACCCCGCGGGGCCACCGCCGCCAGCCCCGGCUGCCUCCAGGGAGGUUCUCAUUUCUAGGGUUUGCUUGGCCUGCAUUUUUAUUGCCCCAUUCGAAAAACUGAAAAGCAGCAGUUAGAGUGCUGGGGGAGGGAUGCCCUUGCAGAUCGGCUCAGCUCUGGUGUGACCCUGGGAAAGGGUCUGUCAGCGCCGCUCCCCAAAGGCACAAGCCCAUGUCCCACGCGUGGCAGCUUUGGCACUCAAAGACUGAAAUGUGCUGUAGUGCCACAGGUCCAGCUUGAAGCAGAGGCCGUGGCUCUCUGCCUUUUCUGCUACACGCACAUGAGAGCUCCGUGAAGGCAAGGAGAUGAGAGAACAUCACUGAUAUAGCAACAAAGGACAACAUCAGAUCCAGUGGGAACAGGAAGUGAUUGGAGGAUGCUUUUCUUAGGCCUUGUUUUCACAAAUAGAUUGAAGAGACGAAACCCUAGCAAAAGAGAAGGUUUCAAUUACUUUAACUUGCCAGAACGACACUCCCAUUACUGCCAGACUGUCUGGUUCUAACAACUAGACAGAGAAGAGUUAGGUCUUCGGAAGAUGUAGCUCUUCUUUAAGAAGUACUUACUGUUCCUGUCACUGCACAUAAUCCCAAGAACAACCUCCUCUGGCACUUACUACAACAAGUGAGAAUAAUUCUGAUGCCUAAUUAAGACUUCAUGAUCCCUAAUGUUUUCAACUCCUACAUUUACAAAACCUUUUUGAGACAAAUCUAAAAAUACAGAAAUGGUAUUAUGUUUCUUCUCAGAUACAUAACAAUACUUAUUUUAUGCUUAAAUACUUAAUUCAUUAAUUUGCUUUACAUCUAUCAAAAUAAAGAUUACCCAAAGCUCAAGUUUGAUUCAGAAUCAAUAAUGUCAAAAGCUCAAAAGUCUUUAGCGCAUGAUACUAGAAUUUGCAAGGGAUCAGCCUCUGGCACAAUUCUACCAUUUUUUAGUUAAAAUCUCAUAAGAGUAAUUGUUCUCAUAAUAUUCCUGCUGGAUCUGAAAUAAAGCUCACAAAUAGGUCCUUUGACCAUCUAACUUAAGAAACCACAAGAAAAAACACAAACCUGUCAAACCUAACCUAACCAUAGUUAAGACCAUCCAGUAAAAUCCCACUGAUUUUGUUCAUGUCAUGAAUAGCUAAUCCUUAUUUUUAUGGCUUGAAGACAGAGCAGUGUGUGCAAACCCAAGAAGAAAGCCCUUUUUUUUUUAUGCUGUCUUCAUUUAUUCUGAAAGCCUAUGGAUUCUUAGACAUGCUUCUGCAGAUAAGGAUGGAAUAUCUGCAGAACACCAGAACAAUUCAUUAGCUACUCCAAUUACAUUUGAAAAUUACCUUUUGUUCAGGAAAAUCUUUAGGUAAGGUAUUUUCAACCUGGAAAGCAACCUUACAUCAUGUCACAUCUGCUUCUCCUCAGCAGAAGCUGCUCUUUUUCUUGAUAUAUUCUCCUGCAGGUGUCUCUGUUCUUUCUCUCCACCUCCAGCACCAUUCACCUGAAAGAUAAUAGAUUAUUGCAGAACACUGGAUUCACCACAGAUUGCUGCCAUCCCAUAGUCCUGGGAAAAAGAGAUAUCACAAUUACUGUACUCAAAUAUUUAUUAUGUUAUUGAUAAAAAGCAGCAGGGCAGCCCUUGUAGCUUUUUCGCGUAUCUUCUCCACAUGAAGGAACUUAUGCUUGACCUAAUAUCAACUAGAAUAAUUCAAAAAGCAACAACAAAUCAAUGCACUGAUAUAAUUAUAAAUGAAGUUUCUUUCUGGACAGGGAAAAGAGAGGCUAUUUUGAAAGAGUACUAUAACAGCAUUAUAACAGAAGGGGGUAUUUAUAUUAAAUCUUAAAUGAUGAACACAAGAAUAACUUCCAAUCAAAAAGGUUAUAAAAGUAGCAAAAAUUUUAAAAGUAAAAAGCCUUGAUUUUCCUCAUAUGCAUGUAACCUUCCAUACCACUACUUUUUUUGAUAGCAAGAACGAGACUAGGAAUCAGACCUAUUCACUGUCCUUAGUUCAGCUUGAAGUGAAAGAUGAGU